rnacentral:rRNA from 1 species
AGCGGCGAACGGGUGAGUAACACGUAGGUGAUCUGCCCAUCAGACGGGGACAACGAUUGGAAACGAUCGCUAAUACCGGAUAGGACAAAAGUUUAAAGGUGCUUCUGGCACCGCUGAUGGAUGAGCCUGCGGCGCAUUAGCUAGUUGGUAGGGUAAAGGCCUACCAAGGCGACGAUGCGUAGCCGACCUGAGAGGGUGAACGGCCACACUGGGACUGAGACACGGCCCAGACUCCUACGGGAGGCAGCAGUAGGGAAUCUUCGGCAAUGGGCGAAAGCCAGACCGAGCAACGCCGCGUGAAUGAUGAAGGCCUUCGGGUUGUAAAAUUCUGUUAUAAGGGAAGAACGACUUUAGUAGGAAAUGGCUAGAGUGUGACGGUACCUUAUGAGAAAGCCACGGCUAACUACGUGCCAGCAGCCGCGGUAAUACGUAGGUGGCGAGCGUUAUCCGGAAUUAUUGGGCGUAAAGAGCGCGCAGGUGGUUGAUUAAGUCUGAUGUGAAAGCCCACGGCUUAACCGUGGAGGGUCAUUGGAAACUGGUCGACUUGAGUGCAGAAGAGGGAAGUGGAAUUCCAUGUGUAGCGGUGAAAUGCGUAGAGAUAUGGAGGAACACCAGUGGCGAAGGCGGCUUCCUGGUCUGUAACUGACACUGAGGCGCGAAAGCGUGGGGAGCAAACAGGAUUAGAUACCCUGGUAGUCCACGCCGUAAACGAUGAGUGCUAAGUGU